AGGGGUAUAGCUCAGUUGGUAGAGCGGCGGUCUCCAAAACCGCAGGCCGCAGGUUCGAGUCCUGCUGCCCCUGCCA
rnacentral:tRNA from 1 species